GUUGACCUCGGAUCAGGUAGGGAUACCCGCUGAACUUAAGCAUAUCAUAA
rnacentral:rRNA from 3 species